UACAGAGGUCCCAAGCGUUGUUCGGAAUCAUUGGGCGUAAAGCGCGUGUAGGCGGUUCGGUAAGUCCGCUGUGAAAGUCGGGGGCUCAACCCUCGGAUGCCGGUGGAUACUGUCGGACUAGAGUACGGAAGAGGCGAGUGGAAUUCCUGGUGUAGCGGUGAAAUGCGCAGAUAUCAGGAGGAACACCGAUUGCGAAGGCAGCUCGCUGGGACGUUACUGACGCUGAGACGCGAAAGCGUGGGGAGCAAACAGG
rnacentral:rRNA from 1 species